GGAUACUAUGGAAAUGCAUUUGCAUUCCCUGCAGCUGUGACGACAGCUAGAAAGCUGUGUCAGAAUCCAAUUGGAUAUGCAUUGGAGCUUGUUAAGAAAAUUAAAAAAGAUUUUAGUGAAGAGUAUAUGAGAUCUGUCGCAGACCUAAUGGUUUUGAAAGGACGACCCCCCUCCACAGCUGUGCGAAUAUUUCAUGUGUCUGACGUGACACGUUCAGGAUUAGGAGACGCUGAUUUUGGUUGGGGAAGACCUGUUUACGCUGGUGCAGCCAGAGGUGGGGUGGGUAACAGACCUGUGGCGGCAACCUUUUACGUAUCAUGCAAGAACAAGAAGGGUGAGAAUGGAAUUGCUGUGACAGUUUCCCUGCAAGCGUCUGUAAUGGAAAAGUUUGCAGCAGAACUCGACCACUUGUUGAAGAACAAUGACCAACUGGUCAUCAAUAAUACUUCAAUUCCUACCAAAUCAGCCCUCUAGAUUUUUCUUGGCCUUGUUUGGUAAAGGGGAUUUAAACUAUCGGCUAAAAAUAAAUAAGGCGAUUCUUGUAGUAAUUCUAUGUCUGUAAACUAUCUACCUAUCUCCUAAUUAUGGGGUGAAUAAUUAUAUGAAGACAAUGGUACAAGCUAGUUUUGGACCAAUGAAUUGAUUAAAGGUCAGGCUGUCUUAACUUGAUCAUUUUCUGGCUUUAUUGAACUUACCUGCUUUGCUUCUUCUGGUAAUGACUGCUUUUAAAUUAGUAGUUGCUGCCUAUUAAAAUCUCCCUUCCGGUCCUCUCUGAUAUUGAUGAUCAAGAAAUCUAAAUCACCGAAUUGCAGUCAUCCUAUUUUACAAGAAGAAAAAUGUGUCCGUUGAUGUACUAAAUACGUGAAAGUCAUUAGAGCAUGUCCAAUGGAGGUGCUAAAGUUGGUGCUAUUGCUAUAAUAUAGCAUUCAAGCACAAAACUCAACUCCAAUAAGAUCCUAAAUUUGAAUGUAAAAAAGCAAAAUGCUAUACAUGGUUCUAAAUAUAGAACCAAGUAUAGAUGGUGCUAUAAUUGCCACAUAAGCAUGCAAGUGACAAAAUAUAUUAAUAAAGUAAUAGUGACAAAUAUAAUUAUGUACUUUAACAUUAUAUAGUGAGAAUAUAGCUUUAUUUGAAUAUGUUUGGUUCUAUUUCACAUUUAUCAGAGCAAGUCCAAUGCAAUGUUAUAAGUGGUGCCAUUUUUAUAAUUUGAAAUCAAAUGCUAAAAAUCUCAACUACAGUGAGGUUCUAUACUUGGAUGCAAAUAUGCAUAUAUGCAUACUUGGUUCUAAAUUUGAAACCAAGGAUGCAUAAAUGCAUCCAUGUCACAUCAUCAACUAACUAUAAUUGAUAUAUAUAGUGGUGAACUUUAAACAAAGUUUAGGAGAGAGAGACUAAAGUUACUUAAUUUUGAAAUUAUUUGGAUGCAAAAUGCUUCUAGCAUUGGAGUUGAAGUUCUAUUUUAGCAACAAAAAACACUUUUUGGUGCUAAAUUAUAACAAUAGCUAUAGCUAUUUUGCAUCUUGCAUUGGACUUGCUCUCAUUGGACCAUAAGUUCUAUUUUAGCAUCAAAAAUCACUUUUUGAUUUCAAAUUAUAAAAAUAACUAGAUCUAUUUUAAAAUCACCAUUAGACUUGCUCUUAUAGAAGCACUUUCCAAAACUCCUGUACCUUACUACCCGUUUGCUGGCCGGCUACGAGAGGGCUAUGGCCGCAAACUGGCAGUGGAGUGGGGUGAUGUUCACUGAAGCUAAUGCUAAUGUUACACUUAAGCAAUUGGUAAUGUAAUUUAUCCACCAUUUCCAUGUUUCGAGGAGCUUCUCUUUGAUGUGCCUGGUUGUGCUGGACUUCUUGAUUGUCCUCUCCUCCUUAUACAAGUAUAUUUCUUUUGAUAUUAUAUAUUUCUGUGCUUGUGUAGAAUUCCUGCACCAAUGGUGCGGAUCUUUUGGAGAGGAAGGAUAAGAAAGCGGAAGUGUUUAAUUACAAAAUUUAUCUUACUACUUUUCAGCAAACUUGAUCUUCCUUGCAAUCAUGCUUAAAAUUAACUUUACUCAAUAUGAAAGUGUUUUCACAAUAGUAUAAUUAUUAUUAAAAUGAUUUUUUUUUUUUUUGUGAUUUAACUUUGUUGGUGGAAUAUCUGUUACAAUAAAAGUUCUAAGAGCAUCUCCAACGGCGUUGGCUAUAAUCUUUGGCUAAAUUGAACCUGUAAGACAUUAUGUAAAAUUUGCUGAACCGGUAAGACAUUGUACUUUAAUGGUAUUAGCUAUAUUGGUUGGUUAUAAUAUAAAAAUAGAAUGUUAUUAAUAUUUUAGUUUGUUAAAAUAGAAGAUAUCAGUUUAAUAUGGUAGCCAUCCAAGUUGGCUAAAAUUAUAUACAACAGAUUCACGUGGUUGGAGUAUGAUUUUUUCAACAUGUUGGCUAAUUUUUUUAUGUUUGGAAUGCCAACUCUUUUCAUUUUUUAGCUCUUGGAUUUGUAUGGUUGGAGAUGCUCUAACAAAUAUAAAAGUAUUUUCUUAAUAAUAUAAUAAUAAUUAUAAUAUCCUAACUAAUAUUAAAGUCUUUGAUUAUAAAAUUUUAAUCAAUAUGAAAGUCUUUUAUUAUUAUAUAAUAAUUAUUAUAAAAUUCUAAUUAAUAUGGAAGUCUUUUAAUAAUAAUAUAAUGAUUUGAUUAUCAAAUAAAAAAAAUUAUCAUCAUAACUAAAUUUUACUCUCUCUGUCCAAUCAGGUUCUUUAAAUUAUUUUUAGCACGCAUUUUGAGACUUUUAUAAAAUAUACUUACAUAAUAUAUAUAAUUUUUAAAAAAAUUCUGAAAAAAAAUUUGACGUUUAAUCUUUUAUUUAAAAAAGAUUUUUUAAAAACAAAUUAUAAAAUUAUAUUUUACAAGAGUCUCAAAAUGCAUGCAAACAGUCUACGUAAACAAUUUCACGGGACGGAGAGAGGGUGCACUGCUUUAGCAUUUGGUACGGUUAUCCUUAUUAAUAAUGAGUCCUGAUAUUCACUUAUUAAUAAUGAUUAUUAUUAGUUAUUUUAGAUAAAAAAUCACUAAAAUAUUAUUAAAUCAACUGAUUUCUAUCAAAGGUCGUAAAAUUUAAUUUGAAAUAUGAUAUAAGCAGAGUUCGUUCGAAAUUAACUACGAACGGCUUCUAGGAAACAUGCAGGUAGUCAGAAAAUUUUCAAAAUCAGCCGACUACAUAGAACAAGUGUUAAUGAUAAUAGGGUCCCAUUUUGUCAUCGCUUUAUGAGACGGGCCCACUCACCUUUCAUUGUGGUCGAAUUAUUACCCUGACCAGAUGAUAAAGACUGAUUCCUGCACGAUUACAACAUUAUCAAACUACUAGAAUUGCAGAUGAGACGAAAACACUCUUUGUUGUGUAGGAGAAAAUCUCAUGGCAGCUGCACAAGAGCCCCUGGUUUUCACAGUUACCAGGCGUGCCCCUGAGCUCAUCCCUCCGGCGAAACCAACCCCGUUCGAGUACAAACUCCUCUCCGACAUCGAUGAUCAGGGGAGUCUCCGUUUCCGAAUCCCCGUCAUCUAUUUUUACCGGAAGAGAAAUGACAAAAUGGACCCUGUGAAAGUCAUCAGGGAGGCUAUUUCGAAAACUCUGGUGUUUUACUACCCGCUUGCUGGGAGGGUGAGAGAGGGCGCUGGCAGGAAGCUGGGAGUGGAAUUCACUGGAGAGGGUGUGAUGUUCAUUGAAGCUGAUGCUGAGGUUACUAUUGAGGAGCUUGGAGGUGAUGCCAUUCAGCCGCCUUUUCCGUGUUUCGAGGAGCUUCUGUUUGAUGUACCUGGCUAUUCUGGAGUUCUUGAUUGUCCUAUCCUCCUUUUUCAGGUUUAAUUUCUCUUCAUUUUUAUCUCACUGGAGUGUUAAAGUGACUAAUUCUGCCAAAAUCUCGAGGUACCAUGAUCAUAUUAUAUUCUACAUUCCCUAUGACUCAAAAACCCAUUUAAAUGUCAAGGGGUUUGGAUGAAGGCUUAUUGAAUCAUAUUAUAUUUUAACACGGAGAGUGAAUGGAAAUGAGUGAGAGUAAAACUGUUAUGAUGAAUUUUGCUAGGAAAGUUGAGUAAGGAUAAAUUGAAGCUCAAAUCUAGAUUUAAUUUGUUAUGAAAGGAAUGAAAUUCAUAAACACGAUACGAAUAGAUUAAAUUUCAUUGCAUUCGCCUCAUUUUCAUUCACUCCAUCCGAACCCAACAUUAAAUUUCCCUAAUUUUCCAAUAGAGUUUGAGAGAUUUGAAAAUCAAGAUUUGGGGGUUAUUACUUGGUACUGUGGUGAUAGAGAGCAAAAAGAGAUGUAUCAGACUGUUUUGGUAGUGACUUGCACAAGUCAUUCUAAUGUAGUAACUUAACACACUGGUUGCCAUUAUCUACUAGUGGAAAUUAGGUGCUUGAUUAUAUGAAAACUUCCUUAAUUAAGUGGCAGCAAAUUAUGGUCCCCUUGUUAAGUAAAUGCAGAGCUAAGAGAACAGAGCAUAGCUAUUAACCGUUAUACUAUAUCAAUUGCUCGAAUUUCAUCUUCCUUGAACUCGUCAUUUGUAAUGAGAAAAUAAGAUUUCUUUGCAAAGAACUUGAUUCUUGUUCUACAGUGCUAUAUCACUUUUUAUCUCAUUGUCUCUACUGAUAACAUAUGCUUGUGUGUAAAUGUAGGUAACUCGACUCAAAUGUGGAGGAUUCAUAAUUGCUGUGCGCCUUAACCACACAGUGUCAGAUGCAGGUGGACUUGCACAAUUUGUGAAUGCUGUAGGUGAAAUUGCUAGAGGUGCAGAUUCCCCUUCUGUCCCUCCUGUGUGGCAAAGAGAAAUACUUAAUGCAAGGGAUCCCCCUCGUGUUACGUGCACACAUCAUGAGUAUGAUGAUGUGCCUGACAGGAAGGGAACCCUCAUCUCUGUCGGUAAUAUGGUCCAUCGUUCAUUCUUUUUUGGUCCUGCUGAGAUUCUGGUCCUCCGUCUAUUGGUUCCUUCUCACCUUAUCAAAUGUUCUACGUCUGAGUUGCUCACUGCUUGCUUAUGGCGGUGUCGCACUCGUGCCCUGCAGCUUGACCCUGAAGAGGAGGUGCGCCUGCUCUAUAAUAUCAAUGCACGCGGAAGAUUUAAUCCUCCCUUGCCUAAGGGAUACUAUGGAAAUGCAUUUGCAUUCCCGGCAGCUGUGACGACAGCUGGAAAGCUGUGUCAGAAUCCAAUUGGAUAUGCAUUGGAGCUUGUCAAGAAAAUUAAAAAAGAUUUUAGUGAAGAGUAUAUGAGAUCUGUCGCAGACCUAAUGGUUUUGAAAGGACGACCCCCCUCCACAGCUGUGCGAAUAUUUCAUGUGUCUGACGUGACACGUUCAGGAUUAGGAGACGCUGAUUUUGGUUGGGGAAAACCUGUUUACGGUGGUCCAGCCAGAGGUGGGGUGGGUAACAGACCUGUGGCGGCAAGCUUUUACGUAUCAUGCAAGAACAAGAAGGGUGAGAAUGGAAUUGCUGUGACAGUUUCCCUGCAAGCUUCUGUAAUGGAAAAGUUUGCAGCAGAACUUGACGGCAUGUUGAAGAACAAUGACCAACUGAUCAU
rnacentral:lncRNA from 1 species